ensembl:snRNA U1 U1 spliceosomal RNA
AUACUGCCUGGCAGGGGAGAGCCCAUGAUCACGAAGGUGGUUUUUCCAGGGUUAGGCUUAAUCCAUUGCACUAUGAUUGUGCUGACCCCUGUAAUUGUCCCCAAAGGCAGGAAACUUGACUGCAUAAUUUGUGGUAGUAGGGGACUAUGUUUGCAUGAAUUGUAU